rnacentral:rRNA from 1 species
GACGAACGCUGGCGGCGUGCUUAACACAUGCAAGUCGAACGGAAAGGCCCUGCUUUUGUGGGGUGCUCGAGUGGCGAACGGGUGAGUAACACGUGAGUAACCUGCCCUUGACUUUGGGAUAACUUCAGGAAACUGGGGCUAAUACCGGAUAGGAGCUCCUGCUGCAUGGUGGGGGUUGGAAAGUUUCGGCGGUUGGGGAUGGACUCGCGGCUUAUCAGCUUGUUGGUGGGGUAGUGGCUUACCAAGGCUUUGACGGGUAGCCGGCCUGAGAGGGUGACCGGCCACAUUGGGACUGAGAUACGGCCCAGACUCCUACGGGAGGCAGCAGUGGGGAAUAUUGCAAAAUGGGCGGAAGCCUGAUGCAGCAACGCCGCGUGCGGGAUGACGGCCUUCGGGUUGUAAACCGCUUUCGCCUGUGACAAAGCGUGAGUGACGGUAAUGGGUAAAGAAGCACCGGCUAACUACGUG